UACGGAGGGAGCUAGCGUUGUUCGGAUAUACUGGGCGUAAAGCGCACGUAGGCGGCGUCGUAAGUCAGGGGUGAAAUCCCGGAGCUCAACUCCGGAACUGCCCUUGAAACUGCAAUGCUAGAAUCUUGGAGAGGCGAGUGGAAUUCCGAGUGUAGAGGUGAAAUUCGUAGAUAUUCGGAAGAACACCAGUGGCGAAGGCGGCUCACUGGACUGGUAUUGACGCUGAGGUGCGAAAGCGUGGGGAGCAAACAGG
rnacentral:rRNA from 1 species